rnacentral:rRNA from 1 species
UACGUAGGGGGCCAGCGUUGUCCGGAUUCAUUGGGCGUAAAGCGCGUGUAGGCGGCCAGGUAGGUCCGAUGUGAAAUCUGGAGGCUCAACCUCCAGCGGUCAUUGGAAACCAUCUGGCUAGAGUCCGGAAGAGGAGAGUGGAAUUCCUGGUGUAGCGGUGAAAUGCGCAGAUAUCAGGAAGAACACCCGUGGCGAAGGCGGCUCUCUGGUACGGAACUGACGCUGAGACGCGAAAGCGUGGGGAGCGAACAGG